UGACCCCAUGCCGAACUCAGAAGUGAAACGCCGUAGCGCCGAUGGUAGUGUGGGGUUUCCCCAUGUGAGAGUAGGGAACUGCCAGGU
rnacentral:rRNA from 1 species